ACGAACGCUGGCGGCUGCUUAACACAUGCAAGUCGAACGGAGUGGCGAACGGGUGAGUAACGCGUGAGAAACCUGCCUAUGACAGUUGGAUAGCCUCGGGAAACCGGGAUUAAUACCGCAUAGUCAUAGAUGGGCUCGCGUCUGAUUAGCGAGUUGGUGAGCUAACAGCCCACCAAGGCGACGAUCAGUAGCCGGUAUGUGGGGAUGAACGGGCACAUUUGAACUGGGCAACGGUCGAAAAUCCUACGGGAGGCAGCAGUGGGGAAUAUUGCACAAUGGGGGAAACCAUGAUGCAGCGAGGCCGCGUGAACGAAGAAGGUAUUCGUAUCGUAAAGUUCUGUCCUAUGGGAAGCAGUACCAUAGAAGAAAGCUCCGGCUAAAUACGUGCCAGCAGCCGCGGUAAUAC
rnacentral:rRNA from 1 species